rnacentral:lncRNA from 1 species
AUCAAAUUUUAAAAUCAUAAACAGGAUCAUUAUAUAUGAGAUAGGAUUCAGAUACAGAAAUUAAAUAGAAAAAGAUAAAUAAACUUCAUACCUUGACACGAGUCGAUCUUCACCAUGAACUGAUGAUCAUAGAUGCAUUUCGAAGGUCCCUUGAAGCUACACAAAUGUCCGACCUCUACAGGUAUCCACAUGAGAUUUUGAUCUGAUCAGAAGCUUAUUGAUCUCACCAGAGUGCUAGCUCUCUUGUAAAAAUCAUAUCUUGACGGUUAAAAAAUCUUCUUUUUUCUUAAGAUACUUUUAGAGAAGAAGAAGAUAGGAGGAUGUUGAUCUCUAUGCUAGAGAUCAUGAGAAGAACCUUUUCUUCUCUUUUUUUUUUAAACCCA